GAUAGAAAACGCACUCAGAAGAAACGUUUCUCGAAGUGACAGUGGUGUGAGGAGAGGCCUGAGCUCAUCUGUGGCAUGACAUCAAAAGCAUAUUAUCAAGGCUGGCCAAAUCAAAGGGAAUCAAAGCGUGUUGCCUCCAAUAACAAACCGCCUCUGUCGCCUCACAUGUUGUCUCAGUGGAGCCAGGCAGCUGUGUGAGCUUAGCGCACGCUCGAGGGGAGGAAUAGAAAGGAGGAGGUCUGUGCCAAUCAUCAGAGCUGUCCGUCAUGUACGAGAUACACCGAUACCAUCAUCUGCACUCUGUGUCAUGCUCCAGGCAGUAGUACUGACCAAACUUAUACCAUCAUCAUGAUUUUACAUUCGGAAUAAAAACAAAAAAUGCACAGCAGUCAUAAAUAGGAGCAAUAGAUACUGAGAUAUC